rnacentral:rRNA from 1 species
GGUAUCCUGACCGUGCUAAGGUAGCAUAAUCAUUUGCCUUUUAAUUGGAGGCUUGUAUGAACGGACACACGAAAGCUCAUCUUUUUUCAGUGGGACUUAAAAAUUAUCCUUCAAGUGAAGAGACUUGAAUAAUAUAAAAAGACGAAAAGACCCUAUGGAGCUUUACUUAAAUUAUUAGCAAAUAAAAUAAAGAAAGCUUCCCCCUAAUAAAAAAGUUUGGUUGGGGCGACUGAGGAGCACACAUUAGCCUCCUCCUAGUAAAAGACACUAAGUCAACAAAAAAUCCACACGCGUGAAUAAAAAUCCAGCUACCCUAGGGAUAACAGGCUAAUCCUCCUCGAGAGCUCAAAUUGACAGGAGGGCUUGGCACCUCG